GCAUAUCAAUAAGCGGAGGAAAAGAAACUAACAAGGAUUCCCUUAGUAACGGCGAGUGAAGCGGGAAGAGCUCAAAUUUGAAAUCUUCAAGGUUCUACCUUGACGAAUUGUAGUUUAAAGAAGUGUUUUCUGUUAGAUGAGUAGCAAAAGUUCCUUGGAAUGGGACAUCAUAGAGGGUGAGAAUCCCGUAUUUGGUUAUUCAUUCUAGCUUUGUGAUACACUUUCAAAGAGUCGGAUUGUUUGGGAAUGCAGUCCAAAAUGGGUGGUAAAUUUCAUCUAAAGCUAAAUAUUGGCGAGAGACCGAUAGCGAACAAGUACCGUGAGGGAAAGAUGAAAAGAACUUUGAAAAGAGAGUUAAACAGUACGUGAAAUUGUCAAAAGGGAAGCGUUUGACACCAGUGUUGUUUUUCCGAAAAUCAAUUACGAAUGGCUUGAUUUUGUGUUGUAUUGACCUUAUCAGCUUUCUGCACUUUUUUCGAGUCUUUCUUAAUGCACUUUUUGGUUAACAAGUCAACAUCAAUUUCUUUUGUUGUAAAAGAGUAUUCGGAAGGUGGCUUUCUUUUCGGAGAAAGUGUUUAUAGCCCUAUACUUCUACAAUCGGAGAGAUUGAGGUCUGCAGCGUAGAUCCUUUGGGGUUAGAUACACUUGUGCUAAGUUGUAGCUUUUCAUAGACAACUUGUUGACUAUGUUUAGUCAUGCGGCUUACUCGCUUGUGCUAUUUUACCUACGCUUAGGAUGUUGACAAAAUGGUUUUAAACGACCCGUCUUGAAACACGGACC
rnacentral:rRNA from 1 species